UACGUAGGGUGCAAGCGUUACUCGGAAUUACUGGGCGUAAAGCGUGCGCAGGCGGUUAUGUAAGACAGUUGUGAAAUCCCCGGGCUCAACCUGGGAAUUGCAUCUGUGACUGCAUAGCUAGAGUACGGUAGAGGGGGAUGGAAUUCCGCGUGUAGCAGUGAAAUGCGUAGAUAUGCGGAGGAACACCGAUGGCGAAGGCAAUCCCCUGGACCUGUACUGACGCUCAUGCACGAAAGCGUGGGGAGCAAACAGG
rnacentral:rRNA from 1 species